rnacentral:rRNA from 1 species
UAUCAGUUUGUUGGUGAGGUAAUGGCCCACCAAGACUAUUACAGGUACGGGCUCUGAGAGGAGUAGCCCGGAGAUGGGUACUGAGACACGGACCCAGGCCCUAUGGGGCGCAGCAGGCGAGAAAACUUUGCAAUGUGCGAAAGCACGACAAGGUUAAUCCGAGUGGUUUCUGCUAAAGAAACCUUUUGCCAGUCCUAGAAACACUGGUGAAUAAGGGGUGGGCAAGUUCUGGUGUCAGCCGCCGCGGUAAAACCAGCACCUCAAGUGGUCAGGAUGAUUAUUGGGCCUAAAGCAUCCGUAGCUCGUUUUGUAAGUUUUCGGUUAAAUCCAUACGCUCAACGUAUGGGCUGCCGGGAAUACUGCAUAACUAGGAAGUGGGAGAGGUAGACGGUACUCGGUGGGAAGGGGUAAAAUCCUUUGAUCUAUUGAUGACCACCUGUGGCGAAGGCGGUCUACCAGAACACGUUCGACGGUGAGGGAUGAAAGCUGGGGGAGCAAACCGGAUUAGAUACCCGGGUAGUCCCAGCUGUAAACUAUGCAAACUCAGUGAU